UCCAGUGUUGGGGUGAUAAAAAGAGAAGCCGACUAGUUAUGUGUGAUGUAGCCGCUUUCUGUUAAUUCUGCUUGAAUAACGUGUUUCUAUUCCUCUCCAGAUUUCCUCCAGCCUGUUUCUCCAGUGAAGAGGAGCCGCCUUCUGCAGAUCUGCGGCAUCUCUUAUAUCACAACCCUCUAAAAGUUGCAGCUUCAGGAGUACUGUAUUUUGUGAAGCUUAUUGUUGCAAAAGGGAAGUCUCGGGGACAUCAGCAAGUCAAACCUUGUAAGGCCAGUCACAUGGUAAAUGCAGGGAAUGCCAAAAAGAGAAAAAAAUCAAAUGCCCACACACAUGAGUAGGCCAGUGCCUAUAUCCUCAUUCAGCAACGAAAAACAGAGGUGAAAUCGACACUUCAGCAAAGUACACACGACUAUGGAGGUUGGUGUCCAUAAAAGCUGUUGCUAUCACUUUGACUGCAGAAUUAGUCAUAUAUGGGCACCCACCAUUCGUUUCGGACCUCUGCACCACCAUAACUCCUUUUGUACACUGAAGGAGCUGAAGAGCUCAGAGAGGGACUGCUCAUGCUGUCGGCUGAGAUAUUUCUGUCAAUUAUUCCAGCUGAUCACAUACAUAAUGCGAAAACUAUGGUACAAAUCGGUUUUGAGAGCGUUUAACCGCGGGCAGGUCCUCGGAUUAGUUGGAUCCAUUACAAUGACCGUGCUUGCAGUAUCGCCCACAGCAUGCCUAGAGCUCUUUCUGACAUAUAUCAUCUAGUAACAAGGGCAGAAAGAGUUGAGUUUCAUCAAGAUUGGAGGCACAAUAUUGCUUCGAGCAGUGAAACUCUUAAGUUACUGGGAAUUUAUCAUUUUGUAAUCGCUCUGUUAAUAGAUGGGAAACAUGCUCUAAACUGCUCUGCUGUUGAUGACAUGGUUGGUGUCACUGGUUUGAAGAAUAGUUGCUAGUUCAUUCUGAAAUUUGCCCCUUGAAAAACCAAAAAGCAACUAGAGGUUUGAGGGUUGCGUUCAGUAUACUUAAGAUUUCUAAGCCAAAGAGAGCCAAUGGAAGCAGUGGUGCACCAAGCUUGCCAUGCCUUUAGGUAUCAUCUGAGCACAAGUUCGAAAGAAAUUUUAUGCUUCUAAUUUUUGCUUGUAACUUCGUUUCUAGAAUUUGAAACUUGAAAAGAUUAUGUUUUGAGGGAAAUUUAUAUA